ACCAUUAUGAAUAGCAAUUUGGUCCGGAUUAAAAUGCAAAGGGUUCAUUUCAAUUAUUAUGAGUUUUGAAAAGAAUCCGGUUCAAUUUGGUUUGGUUUUCCUCGUGAACCAAACCAUGUCCACCCUAGCAAGGUCCUCCAAUCCAUUCUCAUAAAUUUUCAACUAGGCCCGAGCUCGAUAUGUUACCUUGUCAAACAAAAAACAAUGUGUUCUUGCGAAAUACACCUCGAAUUGUAACAAAAUAUAUCUAGUUGCAUCCUACAUGUUUGAUAAUAUCUGUCUUAGAUAACAACAAACCAGUUUCAUCUACUCAUUUCAUCUUGUCUUUUGUUUAUUUUCAUGGCAAAAUCCUUUGAAUCUGUGCGACAAGAAUUAUCACGAAUUGCAAAAUCUGCAACAAAAAUCCAUAGACCAAAACAAACCCAACCCGUAUCAUUGAACCAGUUCAUCGCUGCACGAACCACCAAGAAACAACAAGACCGCACUGUUGGUAAGGUGGAAUCGCCGCCGAAGAAGGUGGAGCCUGUGGAAACUCGAAUUGCUCUUUCCAGGGUGGUCGCUGAUUGCACUCAUCGGUGGUUUCACGAUACGCUUAAGGAGGCCAAACGUGGAGAUCUUUCCAGUCAAGUUCUUGUUGGUCAAAUGUAUUGCUCUGGAUAUGGUGUUCCUAGAAAUCCUCAAAAGGGACAUGCAUGGAUCAGUAGAGCAUCAAGAAGUCGAAAUUCAGUUUGGCAACUAAGCGAAAAACCUCCAGGUUAUAGAGCAAGUGAUUCGGAUUCAAGUGAAAUGGAGAACAAAUCUACUCCUUAGUUUGCAAGUAUGAAGGCAAUUGUUCUACUUAAUUGGUGUCCAUUCUUUAAAUGUAGCUGUUCAUUUCCACAAAGAGUACAUCUCUUACACUGCUGCUCUUUGGUUAUUCGUUUCAAAUCGCAAGUAUUUGUACAUCAAUGUACGUUUCUCGGCAAAAGUGAUUGUAAUCUUUGACGUGUUUCUUUUACAGAAGUGUAUCCUUAACUCUCUUCAUCAGGCGGUACUGCAUACACUAGACAUCACUGCUUUGUUGAUGAAGAGGAAGUGUUUGAAAUCCUUGUGUGAGUUGGCUGCAUUGUGCUGCAAGUAUUAGCAUGUAUGUUUUGUUUAUACAAGACAGCUAUGUCUUUUUUCAAUUUGUUAAAAUAAACUUAUCUUUUGUAAUUCUAUAUAAAUGUAAGUAGCGGUGUUGCAAUGGAUAAUUACUAUUUCAAAUGCUUAGAUCAACUUUGUUUAUCAA